UCGAACGGUAACAUUUCUAGCUUGCUAGAAGAUGACGAGUGGCGGACGGGUGAGUAAUGCUUGGGAACUUGCCUUUGCGAGGGGGAUAACAGUUGGAAACGACUGCUAAUACCGCAUAAUGUCUUCGGACCAAACGGGGCUUAGGCUCCGGCGCAAAGAGAGGCCCAAGUGAGAUUAGCUAGUUGGUGAGGUAAAGGCUCACCAAGGCAACGAUCUCUAGCUGUUCUGAGAGGAAGAUCAGCCACACUGGGACUGAGACACGGCCCAGACUCCUACGGGAGGCAGCAGUGGGGAAUAUUGCACAAUGGGCGAAAGCCUGAUGCAGCCAUGCCGCGUGUGUGAAGAAGGCCUUCGGGUUGUAAAGCACUUUCAGUUGUGAGGAAAAGUUAGUAGUUAAUACCUGCUAGCCGUGACGUUAACAACAGAAGAAGCACCGGCUAACUCCGUGCCAGCAGCCGCGGUAAUACGGAGGGUGCGAGCGUUAAUCGGAAUUACUGGGCGUAAAGCGCACGCAGGCGGUUUGUUAAGCUAGAUGUGAAAGCCCCGAGCUCAACUUGGGAUGGUCAUUUAGAACUGGCAGACUAGAGUCUUGGAGAGGGGAGUGGAAUUCCAGGUGUAGCGGUGAAAUGCGUAGAUAUCUGGAGGAACAUCAGUGGCGAAGGCGACUCCCUGGCCAAAGACUGACGCUCAUGUGCGAAAGUGUGGGUAGCGAACAGGAUUAGAUACCCUGGUAGUCCACACCGUAAACGCUGUCUACUAGCUGUUUGUGGCUUUAAGCCGUGAGUAGCGAAGCUAACGCGAUAAGUAGACCGCCUGGGGAGUACGGCCGCAAGGUUAAAACUCAAAUGAAUUGACGGGGGCCCGCACAAGCGGUGGAGCAUGUG
rnacentral:rRNA from 1 species